rnacentral:rRNA from 1 species
GCUUGCUGGGUACUCGAGUGGCGAACGGGUGAGUAACACGUGGGUGAUCUGCCCUGCACUCUGGGAUAAGCCUGGGAAACUGGGUCUAAUACCGGAUAUGACCAACUGUCGCAUGGUGGUUGGUGGAAAGCUUUUGCGGUGUGGGAUGGGCCCGCGGCCUAUCAGCUUGUUGGUGGGGUAAUGGCCUACCAAGGCGACGACGGGUAGCCGACCUGAGAGGGUGAUCGGCCACACUGGGACUGAGACACGGCCCAGACUCCUACGGGAGGCAGCAGUGGGGAAUAUUGCACAAUGGGCGCAAGCCUGAUGCAGCGACGCCGCGUGAGGGAUGACGGCCUUCGGGUUGUAAACCUCUUUCACCAGGGACGAAGCGGAAGUGACGGUACCUGGAGAAGAAGCACCGGCCAACUACGUGCCAGCAGCCGCGGUAAUACGUAGGGUGCGAGCGUUGUCCGGAAUUACUGGGCGUAAAGAGCUCGUAGGCGGUUUGUCGCGUCGUCUGUGAAAUUCUGCAACUCAAUUGCAGGCGUGCAGGCGAUACGGGCAGACUUGAGUACUACAGGGGAGACUGGAAUUCCUGGUGUAGCGGUGAAAUGCGCAGAUAUCAGG